rnacentral:rRNA from 1 species
CCUGCCUCACAAGGGUUGCUCACAACCGCCUUUCACGGGCAACUACUUUUUGACUCUGACCUCAAAUCAGGUAGGGCUACCCGCUGAACUUAA